ACUAAUCCUAGACAACUUCAUCUUCCUCGUACCCUCAAUUCGCCACCGUACGCCUCCGCCACCGCUGGAGAAAAUACAACUUUUUCCGUUCGCUCCCAAAAUUAUACCCCUAUACCGCCUCAAUGUCCCUGUCAUGAAUCUGCCACUAUCUAAUCUCGAGUCCCAUUGGGACCUCUCGAAUAAUCAAAAAGGCAUUGUCAUCUCCGCCGCCCAUGGCUGUGUCGCCCCCCAAUGGCCUCCGAAAUUAUACCCUUACAUCGGCUCAGUCUCCUUAUCACCAAUAUGUAAAUAGUCUUCCUCAAAUCAUGACCCAAUCCAUCCAAUUUCAAAUCCAAAUUCGGUCAAAAACUCCAAUUGAUUCAAUCGGCUUCAAAUUAACACACCGGAGUCUCGUGCUUCCCGCAUGGUGAAUUCAAUGUCAUUGGCCCCAAAACUUCACUGAAGUCAGUCGAAUAUUGAUUCCAAAUUGGCCAGAGAGUCUUUUCUUCUUAUUUUUUAUUUUUUUGCUCUUGCUACAAUGUUGGAUAUUAAGUUUUUAAGCUUAGUUGUUCAUCUUAAUUCAAUAGGUUUUCUUCUUUUGAUUGAUAUGCUUGUCCAGAUUAAUCGAUGACUUUGUGUGUUAGAUUUUUAUUUCUGUUUAAUUUUUGUUGCUUUUGUGGUUUCGUUAGUGAUUAUGUUGUUGUAGUUAGAAGUCUUAUUUUGAUAAUCAUUUUAUGUUCAUUAGAUUGUCUAUCUGCUUAUUAGUUAGAUUAGUAUAAGUUUAGUGUUGAUUACUUAGUUCUCAUUGUUAAGUAUUGUUUCAUCGAUAAUUAGAUAAUGGUAUGUUAGAAUUAUAUUUGUUGCAAGCUGAAAUUCACUAUUAGGGAUUAGGGAAGUGUUUGGGUAUUAACUCAGUUAAUUAAAUGGGUAACUCAGGGAGAUAGUAAGGGCAUAAUAGGGAGUUUAAAUGGGUAUUCUAGAAUAGGAUUUUAGACAUAAUUUUAGUAGUUUAGAGAGUGACUUGAGUAACAAGUUAAGAAAGGGAAGACUGAAAUGAAAUAAAUGAGGGACCAAUAGGUAAACACAAAUGUGAAGGCUGCCCCUCAUCUAGCCUAUAAAAAGCAUGAAUAAUGCCUUGUUGAGGAGAUUUUUUUUCAGCCAUCCUCAUCUGGCCUAUAAAAGGCAUGAAUAAUGCCUUGUUGAGGAGAUUUUUUUUCAGCCAUCUAAUCUUUUCAAAAUAGGACAUAGUUUAUAGAAUCAUAAUUUGAAUUGCAGAUUCAAAAUUCAAGAUCCGAAAGUUCCGUUUCCAGCCUAAAAUCCAAAAAUAUAUGCCUUAAGUUUAAUUUUAAGUUAUGUGGUUGAUUAUUGGCUUCUCUUAACUCAAAUUCUAAUAGUCGAUGUCCAGAAUGAUUCCUGGUUUGGUUUUGAGUUGAUUUGAGUUCAAAUGUGUCAUCUUAGUGAAUUUUGAUCACUGAAGUAUUCCUGGGUGUUUGAGAGGCUAUUUUGAUUAGAAAAUUGCUUUUGAUGUUGUUGCGUUGAGAGAUCCACUGCUGGAUUUCUGAAACUGCUCUGAAUUGCUGCUAGGUCCUGUUAUUACUGCUGAUUUUUCUCAUUUCCUUUCCUUUCUAAUUCCAGGUACAUACUCGAGAUUGAAUUCAUGUAACUAUUUUAUGAAAUGAAAGUGUUGCUGUUUGACCUUCUGAGAAGCAUCCACUAUCUCAUUGAUUAACUGCACUACCAUUGGUUCUAGGACUUUUGGAAGUUUAUUGUUUCAUCCUAUUUGCAGUAGAGUGAAUGGAUUUGUGAUAAUGUUGAACUGUUUAAGAUCUGAACUGUUAAAUCGAUUUGAAGUCUUGUUACAAACAUGCGAACUCAACAAUCAUCAAUAGUAGCUCAAAUUUGGGUCAGAACUCAUAGUCUGCAUGAUUAAAUGUUAGCAGAAAAUCAAUGACCUCGUAGUAGAAGUUAAACGCGUGAACUGGUUUAGUAAUCUUGACCUUAGCUGGUAGUUACUUUUUAUCACUGUUCAUGUUAAAGUAUAAUUUGGUAUCUGCAUUUGAAUAAAGGUUCUAGAUCUAAUUGGUAUGUGCACUUGAAUUGUUGUUGGCAAAUUAGCAUUAAAUUUCAGGGAACAAGUGCUCACCUCCAUUGAAUUAAUUCAUUGAGUCUAGUAAUUCGUUUGAGUUAAUUAGUAGUUUAGUUUGAUUAUCACCUUUAGAUAAUGCCAUGAUCUCUUAGUCAUCUUGAAUUGAAUAAACGUGCAUAGCCCUUCCUUGUUACAAAUUGUUUAAUGCACUUAACACAAUUUGCAUAAGUUCAGUGCAUAUUUGGUUCAGCGUAGGCGGAAUUCAGGAACAGUUAAAUGCACAGGGGUUUGAAAUGAGGACCUUUUGUGGCUUUUGGCGUGGGCAUGACCUUAAUGUUGGCCGUUUGGGCCUGGGCCACAACCUGCGAAUGGCUGAUUUCAGUUACAUGUCUAUUUACAAAAUAUGCUCUUUGGGCUUCUGUUGGAGCCCAACGCAUUUUAGUUUAACAAUUGAUUAGAUGUGUUAUGCUCAUAAUUUUGAUUAAUUAGGAUUUCUUUUCUUUUUAGAGACAUACAAAAAAUAAAUAGAAAAUCAUAGGUGAUUUAGUUUUCCUUUUAAAAUAAACGAGAUGAGCCUUGCCAAGUAAAACUCAUAA
rnacentral:lncRNA from 1 species